GAUGAACGCUGGCGGCGUGCCUAAUACAUGCAAGUCGAGCGAACGGACGAGAAGCUUGCUUCUCUGAUGUUAGCGGCGGACGGGUGAGUAACACGUGGAUAACCUACCUAUAAGACUGGGAUAACUUCGGGAAACCGAAGCUAAUACCGGAUGAUAUUUUGAACCGCAUGGUUCAAAAGUGAAAGACGGUCUUGCUGUCACUUAUAGAUGGAUCCGCGCUGCAUUAGCUAGUUGGUAAGGUAACGGCUUACCAAGGCAACGAUGCAUAGCCGACCUGAGAGGGUGAUCGGCCACACUGGAACUGAGACACGGUCCAGACUCCUACGGGAGGCAGCAGUAGCGAAUCUUCCGCAAUGGGCGAAAGCCUGACGGAGCAACGCCGCGUGAGUGAUGAAGGUCUUCGGAUCGUAAAACUCUGUUAUUAGGGAAGAACAUAUGUGUAAGUAACUGUGCACAUCUUGACGGUACCUAAUCAGAAAGCCACGGCUAACUACGUG
rnacentral:rRNA from 1 species